UGAAAAGAUGAAAGACCAAGAGUGCGA
rnacentral:piRNA from 1 species